rnacentral:rRNA from 1 species
GCGUUGUUCGGAAUUACUGGGCGUAAAGAGCGUGUAGGCGGUAUACAAAGUUGGAAGUGAAAUCCCGAGGCUUAACCUCGGAACUGCUUUCAAAACUUGUAAACUAGAGUAUGAUAGAGGAUGGUGGAAUUCCUAGUGUAGAGGUGAAAUUCUUAGAUAUUAGGAGGAACACCGGUGGCGAAGGCGGCCAUCUGGGUCAUAACUGACGCUAAGGCGCGAAAGCGUG